GGGUGAUUAGCUCAGCUGGGAGAGCAUCUGCCUUACAAGCAGAGGGUCGGCGGUUCGAUCCCGUCAUUACCCACCA
rnacentral:tRNA from 1 species